UACGUAGGGGGCAAGCGUUGUCCGGAUUUAUUGGGCGUAAAGAGCGUGUAGGCGGCCUUUACAGGUCCACUUGUGAAAACUCGAGGCUCAACCUCGAGACGUCGGCGGAAACCAUCUGGCUAGAGUCCGGAAGAGGAGAGUGGAAUUCCUGGUGUAGCGGUGAAAUGCGCAGAUAUCAGGAAGAACACCAACGGCGAAGGCAGCUCGCUGGGACGGUACUGACGCUGAGACGCGAAAGCGUGGGGAGCGAACAGG
rnacentral:rRNA from 1 species